AUGAACGCUAGCUACAGGCUUAACACAUGCAAGUCGAGGGGCAGCAUUUUAGUUUGCUUGCAAACUGAAGAUGGCGACCGGCGCACGGGUGAGUAACACGUAUCCAACCUGCCGAUAACUCCGGGAUAGCCUUUCGAAAGAAAGAUUAAUACCGGAUAGUAUACGAAUAUCGCAUGAUAUUUUUAUUAAAGAAUUUCGGUUAUCGAUGGGGAUGCGUUCCAUUAGUUUGUUGGCGGGGUAACGGCCCACCAAGACUACGAUGGAUAGGGGUUCUGAGAGGAAGGUCCCCCACAUUGGAACUGAGACACGGUCCAAACUCCUACGGGAGGCAGCAGUGAGGAAUAUUGGUCAAUGGGCGCGAGCCUGAACCAGCCAAGUAGCGUGAAGGAUGAAGGCUCUAUGGGUCGUAAACUUCUUUUAUAUGGGAAUAAAGUUUUCCACGUGUGGAAUUUUGUAUGUACCAUAUGAAUAAGGAUCGGCUAACUCCGUGCCAGCAGCCGCGGUAAUACGGAGGAUCCGAGCGUUAUCCGGAUUUAUUGGGUUUAAAGGGAGCGUAGGUGGAUUGUUAAGUCAGUUGUGAAAGUUUGCGGCUCAACCGUAAAAUUGCAGUUGAAACUGGCAGUCUUGAGUACAGUAGAGGUGGGCGGAAUUCGUGGUGUAGCGGUGAAAUGCUUAGAUAUCACGAAGAACUCCGAUUGCGAAGGCAGCUCACUAGACUGUUACUGACACUGAUGCUCGAAAGUGUGGGUAUCAAACAGGAUUAGAUACCCUGGUAGUCCACACCGUAAACGAUGGAUACUAGGUGUAGGGGAUAUUAAAAUUCUCUGUGCCGCCGCUAACGCAAUAAGUAUCCCACCUGGGGAGUACGGCCGCAAGGUUGAAACUCAAAGGAAUUGACGGGGGCCCGCACAAGCAGUGGAGUAUGUGGUUUAAUUCGAAGCAACGCGAAGAACCUUACCUGAUCUUGACAUCCCGAUGCCCGCUCCGUAAUGGGAGCUUUUCUUCGGAACAUCGGUGACAGGUGGUGCAUGGUUGUCGUCAGCUCGUGUCGUGAGAUGUUGGGUUAAGUCCCGCAACGAGCGCAACCCUUACGGUUAGUUGAUACGCAAGAUCACUCUAGCCGGACUGCCGUUGACAAAACGGAGGAAGGUGGGGACGACGUCAAAUCAUCAUGCCCUUUAUGUCCUGGGCUACACACGUACUACAAUGGCUAUAACAAAGAGAAGCGAGACCGCGAGGUGGAGCAAAACUCAAAAAAGUAGUCUCAGUUCGGAUUGUAGACUGAAAUUCGUCUACAUGAAGCUGGAAUUGCUAGUAAUGGCAGGUCAGCAUACUGCCGUGAAUACGUUCCCGGGCCUUGUACACACCGCCCGUCACACCAUGGGAGUCGGAAAUGCCCGAAGUCGGUGACCUAACCGCAAGGAAGGAGCCGCCGAAGGCAGGUCUGAUAACUGGGGUG
rnacentral:rRNA from 1 species